rnacentral:rRNA from 1 species
ACAGGAGGAGCGAGUGUUAUUCAGAAUUAUUGGGUUUAAAGGGUCCGUAGGCGGAUGAUUAAGUCAGGGGUGAAAGUUUGCAGCUCAACUGUAAAAUUGCCUUUGAUACUGGUCAUCUUGAGUUGUAUUGAAGUAGGCGGAAUAUGUAGUGUAGCGGUGAAAUGCAUAGAUAUUACAUAGAACACCAAUUGCGAAGGCAGCUUACUAAGUACUAACUGACGCUGAUGGACGAAAGCGUGGGUAGCGAACAGG